rnacentral:rRNA from 1 species
UACGAAGGUGGCAAGCGUUGUUCGGAUUUACUGGGCGUAAAGGGAGCGUAGGCGGUUGAGUAAGCCCUCUGGGAAAUCUUCCGGCUUAACCGGGAAAGGUCAGAGGGGACUGCCUGACUAGAGGACGGGAGAGGAGCGCGGAAUUCCCGGUGUAGCGGUGAAAUGCGUAGAGAUCGGGAGGAAGGCCGGUGGCGAAGGCGGCGCUCUGGAACGUUCCUGACGCUGAGGCUCGAAAGCGUGGGGAGCAAACAGGAUUAGAAACCCCCGUAGUCC